rnacentral:rRNA from 1 species
GGGACACGUGGUAUCCUGUCUGAAUAUGGGGGGACCAUCCUCCAAGGCUAAAUACUCCUGACUGACCGAUAGUGAACCAGUACCGUGAGGGAAAGGCGAAAAGAACCCCGGCGAGGGGAGUGAAAAAGAACCUGAAACCGUGUACGUACAAGCAGUGGGAGCCUCUUAAUGGGGUGACUGCGUACCUUUUGUAUAAUGGGUCAGCGACUUAUAUUCUGUAGCAAGGUUAACCGAAUAGGGGAGCCGAAGGGAAACCGAGUCUUAACUGGGCGUUAAGUUGCAGGGUAUAGACCCGAAACCCGGUGAUCUAGCCAUGGGCAGGUUGAAGGUUGGGUAACACUAACUGGAGGACCGAACCGACUAAUGUUGAAAAAUUAGCGGAUGACUUGUGGCUGGGGGUGAAAGGCCAAUCAAACCGGGAGAUAGCUGGUUCUCCCCGAAAGCUAUUUAGGUAGCGCCUCGUGAAUUCAUCUCCGGGGGUAGAGCACUGUUUCGGCAAGGGGGUCAUCCCGACUUACCAACCCGAUGCAAACUGCGAAUACCGGAGAAUGUUAUCACGGGAGACACACGGCGGGUGCUAACGUCCGUCGUGAAGAGGGAAACAACCCAGACCGCCAGCUAAGGUCCCAAAGUCAUGGUUAAGUGGGAAACGAUGUGGGAAGGCCCAGACAGCCAGGAUGUUGGCUUAGAAGCAGCCAUCAUUUAAAGAAAGCGUAAUAGCUCACUGGUCGAGUCGGCCUGCGCGGAAGAUGUAACGGGGCUAAACCAUGCACCGAAGCUGCGGCAGCGACACUAUGUGUUGUUGGGUAGGGGAGCGUUCUGUAAGCCUGUGAAGGUAGCCUGUGAGGGUUGCUGGAGGUAUCAGAAGUGCGAAUGCUGACAUAAGUAACGAUAAAGCGGGUGAAAAGCCCGCUCGCCGGAAGACCAAGGGUUCCUGUCCAACGUUAAUCGGGG